AUUGAGAUGAUCAUGUAAGUAAAAUUUUAUCUAUUUAGUUUUUAAUACUGUAUAUUCUAUAAUUGUAUAUUAGGUCCUGAUUUAGUAUCAUCUUUUGUGUGAAUGCAUUUAUCACUGUGAUAAGUACAAUUAUACAAAAAGAUUUCCAUAUUGCAUAUGUCUUGCAUAAAUACAGUAGUAUUAUGUUAAAUUUUGCUAAUGGAAUGGUUAUAUGGAAGAGUAAUAGACUUUCAUGCAGAGGAUUUUGGAUUGAAUUUAAUCUCACAUCUCCACAGCUCUUAUUACUUGAAGAAUAUAGGAUCAAAUUUGUCUUAUAUCUGUAUAUUAUUUUUUUCAUUGGAAUUCAAGCCCACUUGUUGAUCCUAAUUUCCAUUUUAUUAGCUCACCCAUUUUAAAAUCUAGC
rnacentral:lncRNA from 1 species